CAAUCGAACCCGGAGAUAGCUGGUUCUCCUCGAAAUAGCUUUAGGGCUAGCCUCGUAUUAGUCUUGCGGAGGUAGAGCACUGAAUAUCCUAGGGGGCGUCAAAGCUUACCGAAGAUUAUCAAACUCCGAAUGCCGCGUAGAUGAUGUACGGGAGUCAGACUGCACGAGAUAAGUUGGGUAGUCAAAAGGGAAAGAGCCCAGACCACCAGCUAAGGUCCCAAAGUGCGUGUUAAGUGGAAAAGGAUGUGGGAUUUCGAAGACAACUAGGAUGUUGGCUCAGAAGCAGCCAUACAUUCAAAGAGUGCGUAAUAGCUCACUAGUCGAGAGGUCCUGCGCCGAAAAUGUCCGGGGCUAAAACACGACACCGAAGCUGUGGAUCCGAAAGGAUGGUAGAGGAGCAUUCUUAAGUCGACGAAGCUGUACUGUAAGGAGCAGUGGAGAGUUAAGAAGAGAGAAUGCCGGAAUGAGUAGCGAGAUUUAAGUGAGAAUCUUAAAGGCCGAAUAUCUAAGGUUUCCAGGGUAAAGCUGAUCUUCCCUGGGUAAGUCGGGGCCUAAGGCGAGGGCGAGAGCCGUAGUCGAUGGAUAACAGGUUGAAAUUCCUGUACUGCUUAUGGACAGAACUGUGGGGACGCAGAAGGAGAGCACGAGCCGGAAAUGGAAAAGCCGGUACAAGCGUAUAGCAGUCAUGCAGGCAAAACCGCAUGAAAAAUGUAAAGCGUUAUGUGGAUCGAACAUUAGUAGAGAAGCGUGUGAGCCAGCUGCCAAGAAAAGCCGCUAUUGCUUCAUAAGUACCCGUACCGUAAACCGACACAGGUGGAUGAGGAGAGAAUCCUAAGGCCGGCGGGAGAAGUGUUGUUAAGGAACUCGGCAAAAUGACUCCGUAACUUCGGGAGAAGGAGUGCCACAGAGAUGUGGCCGCAGAGAAAUGGCCCAAGCAACUGUUUAGCAAAAACACAGGUCUAUGCAAAACCGAAAGGUGAGGUAUAUGGGCUGACGCCUGCCCGGUGCUGGAAGGUUAAGAGGAGAGGUUAGCGCAAGCGAAGCUUUGAAUUUAAGCCCCAGUAAACGGCGGCCGUAACUAUAACGGUCCUAAGGUAGCGAAAUUCCUUGUCGGGUAAGUUCCGACCCGCACGAAAGGCGUAAUGAUUUGGGCACUGUCUCAACGA
rnacentral:rRNA from 1 species